GGGGCGGAGCGCGCGUGCGCGGGAGGGGUGUGGGGGGCCGCACGUGUGAGGGAGGGGGCGGGGCGCCAAAGCUCCACCCGCCGCGCGUGCAGUCUUUCUCAGGACCCGGGUGCCGGGAACCUGUGGAUCGUGUUCCCCGGUUUCAGUUUCCCCUCUACAUCAGCGUGCCAGACGCUUUCCCCCGUCCUGGGCCGGAAGGGUGGGAUGCGCCCCAUUGUCACCUUCCCCGGGGGCAAAGGCUGGGGAGUCCCUUCCCCGGAGAGUGACGGGGGGCCGGGGUCACUGCCCUUGGUGUGAACGUGUGGGGCCGGGAGUUCUCUUACCCGGGGUAGAAGGCAGGGGCCAAGGCCGGGGUCAUUGCCCGCGGAAUGAAGACAGAGGGUGGGGGGUGGUCUCUUCCCUGAGGGCGAAGGCGGGGGACCAGGGUCACUGCCCAGGAGGUGAAGGUGGGGGCCUCGCUCCGCGCGUGGGGCGCAGUAGUAACUGCGAGUAACGAGCGCUGCGGGCGCGUCAGCCGCUAAAUAUAAGGUGCUGAGCGCAUUUUCUUUUAAUCCCGCCCCUCCCCCCAAACCUGCGGUGGCGUUCCGCGUCCCUUAAAAUAAAUCCCAGCCGGCCACCAGCGCCUCCGAGUCCCGCCUGACCUGGCCUGCUUGCCGCUUUGCCCGGCUCCGGCUCGGAGGCCUCGCUGUGAAGUGGAGAAACGGGCCGCCCCCUCCUGUUCGCCAGACCCCCUUCUUGCCUGCACAGCCCUUUGCUCGAUUGUUGAUUAUGUCUGCGCUUGCUUUCUGCCUGUCUCUCCCUCUUGACCUCAGAUCAGCGACUAGUAUUAGGUCCUGAAAAGAACUUGUAAGUGCCAAACGAAAAAUGAAAGCCGCUGCAGAGAACACCUUACGGCAAACCUGCACAUAGGCUCGGACUCCCCAUUUUACAGAGGAAACUGAGACCCAGCACAGGACCGUUGCCCCGCCUGCCCUUUGUGAAUCCCCCCAUUCCACCAGCACCCGGCAACAGUAAGAGAACAGUAUUGGGUUGGAGAAAAGGGAGCACAGAAGAAGCAGGAGAGAAGAUGGAAAAGUCUUCUUAAUAGAUCUGCCAAGAUUUACCAGUGCAUCUCGGCUCCUGGAGAAUCGCGCUGUUUCUCCUUUUGCCAGAUUGAGAAGACAGCUGUCCUGCCCAUCUCACUGCUGGAUGUGAGGACCCCAGAAGAUAAUGCCUCUGACGGGUUUUAGAGAGGCGCUAGGGGCCCGUGCAUGGGAGACGGUGGUCUCUGCAGAGGACCACAGAAGGAGCUGGCCGGGUUUCCACUGCACCCACGAGCCACGUACCAAGCCCUGUGUGUUUGGAGGACAGCAUCCCUUAUUAAGGACAGGUGUGAAGAUAAGGACCCAGGACCAGGCCCGGGGUUCCAUCGCAGCCCGUGUCCUGUAGCAGGUGAGGGGCACAUGGCCACAGAAGGCCACUUUGUGACUGAUGUGAACUUGAGAAAGAAUGAUGGGCCCAGCCACUGAUUUCACAGGUAUCAUUGCUUAGUAGGAGCGAAAACAAAACAGGUGAGUUGAUUUAAAGACGUAUUAGUAAUACAUAGGUGGACACAGAUAAAACAGAAAUCGAGUCUGGAGUCAAGCAGGGGACGUGCCAGCAGGGUGGGACCUUGCCUGUCCCCUCCUCUCCUUCGGGACCUAACGCACGAGAUGGGGAGAUGUCCACCCGCUAGGAGGGAGCCUUUGCCCGGAGAGAGCUAGGAGCCAGGAGGAAGCUGAGGGCUGCAGGUGGAUGGGCGGCAAAGGCAACGCUGGCUUUGAAGGUGACCCGUACCUGGAGCCCUUCAGGCAGGUCACAGGGCUGGGAGGCCCGGGCGUCUGUGUUCAGGGCCUCUGUGGUCAGGGAGUAAAGACAAGAAAAGCAGGCCAGGAAUUCUCCCCGAGGUCUCUGCUCUCUGUGAAUCCAGUGGGAAUCCAUCCCCGUCCCCGGGGCCUGCAGGGCUGUUUUCCCUGGAGGCUCUGUGAGCACCGGUGGCUUGAGGUUCAUGCAUCUUUGGACCCCCCCUCCUCUCCUCGCCCUUCUCCUUUACCCCUUCUUUCCUCUUCCAUCUCCCUCUCCUCCCCCUCCCCCUUCCCUGCCUCC